rnacentral:rRNA from 1 species
CAGACGUGCAUCUCGAAAUCCCUGAG